rnacentral:tRNA from 1 species
CGGGGCAUGGCGCAGCCUGGUAGCGCGCACGGCUGGGGGCCGUGAGGUCGUGAGUUCAAAUCUCGCUGCCCCGACCA